AUUGAACGCUGGCGGCAGGCCUAACACAUGCAAGUCGAGCGGUUGAAGGGAGCUUGCUCCUGGAUUCAGCGGCGGACGGGUGAGUAAUGCCUAGAAAUCUGCCUGGUAGUGGGGGAUAACGUCCGGAAACGGGCGCUAAUCCCGCUUACGUACUGAGGGGCAACGUGUAGGAUCUUCGAACCUCACGCUAUCGGAUGAGCCUAGGUCGGAUUAGCUAGUUGGUGGGGUAAAGGCCUACCAAGGCGACGAUCUGUAACUGGUCUGAGAGGAUGAUCAGUCACACUAGAACUGAGACACGGUCCAGACUACUACGGGAGGCAGCAGUGGGGAAUAUUGGACAAUGGGCGAAAGGCUGAUCCAGCCAUGCCGCGUGUGUGAAGAAGGUCUUCGGAUUGUAAAGCACUUUAAGUUGGGAGGAAGGGCAGUAAGUUAAUACCGUGCUGUUUUGACGUUACCAACAGAAUAAGCACCGGCUAACUUCGUG
rnacentral:rRNA from 1 species